rnacentral:rRNA from 1 species
GACGAACGCUGGCGGCGUGCUUAACACAUGCAAGUCGAACGGUAACAGGCCCUUCGGGGUGCUGACGAGUGGCGGACGGGUGAGUAAUGCUUAGGAAUCUGCCUAGUAGUGGGGGAUAACCCGGGGAAACUCGGGCUAAUACCGCAUACGCCCUACGGGGGAAAGGCGGGGACGUUUCGGCCGUCGCGCUAUUAGAUGAGCCCAACGU